rnacentral:rRNA from 1 species
GAGAGUUUGUAACACCCGAAGUCGGUAGGGUAACCUUUAUGGAGCCAGCCGCCGAAGGUGGGACAGAUAAUUGGGGUGAAGUCGUAACAAGGUAGCCGUAUCGGAAGGUGCGGCUGGAUCACCUCCUUUCUAAGGA